ACUGUUGCAUCUUGCUGCCUUU
rnacentral:miRNA from 1 species